GCCUUCGUGGCGGAAUUGGUAUACGCACAUGCUUGAGGUGCAUGGGUCGCAAGGCCAUGCGGGUUCGAGUCCCGCCGAAGGCA
rfam:Candidatus Moranbacteria bacterium RIFOXYA2_FTLL_43_15 rifoxya2_full_scaffold_98, whole genome shotgun sequence.